UACGUAUGGGGCAAGCGUUAUCCGGAUUUACUGGGUGUAAAGGGAGCGUAGGCGGCGGGGCAAGCUUGAUGUGAAAGCCCGGGGCUCAACCCCGGGACUGCAUUGGGAACUGCCCUGCUGGAGUGCCGGAGGGGCAGGCGGAAUUCCUAGUGUAGCGGUGAAAUGCGUAGAUAUUAGGAGGAACACCAGUGGCGAAGGCGGCCUGCUGGACGGUGACUGACGCUGAGGCUCGAAAGCGUGGGGAGCAAACAGG
rnacentral:rRNA from 1 species